rnacentral:lncRNA from 1 species
CAGGAUGUCCACAGUGUGUGAGAACACAUGAGUGUAGUGACCCUCUCUGCCAUCUGUCAGCCCCAUAAGGGACCGGCAUGCCUUGUUCAUCUGACUGUCUAGGGCAGGAACACGAGCAUGGAACACGUGUGAGAAAAGCCCUCCUUCUUGCUACAGGGGCCGUUGGAUUAAGCAGCUUUCGGCUAUCUAAUGUCAUUGAGGUUCAAGCCAUGAAAAAGGAAGCUGACGGCUGCAAAAAGAUGUCAUCUAAGGCCAGACCAAAUGAAAGGAUGCAGUAACUUCCUACCAAAUAAAAACAUCUUUGACUCAAUAGAAAAAAUCCCUUCAUCGUGCAAUGAACACAUCCUUCCCUGGAGCAGCACUGAUAAUUAAUGCCACAAACUCUUGGUUAGAAAUAUAUAUGAGUUUGGUCAUAAAUGUUCUCGGGCAUUUUAAAUGUCAGUGAUGUGAAUAGCCUUUAUUAUUCUAGAAUGAUAGCUUGUUCCCAGACACUGCUACUUUGCAG